rnacentral:tRNA from 1 species
GGGCCGUUAGCUCAGUUGGUAGAGCAGCUGACUCUUAAUCAGCGGGUCGGAGGUUCAAGCCCUCCACGGCCCA